rnacentral:misc_RNA from 1 species
GAUGAAGAACGCAGCGAAAUGCGAUAAGUAGUGUGAAUUGCAGAAUUCAGUGAAUCAUCGAAUCUUUGAACGCACAUUGCGCCCCUUGGUAUUCCAUGGGGCAUGCCUGUUCGAGCGUCAUUUGUACCCUCAAGCUUUGCUUGGUGUUGGGUGUUUGUCCUCUCCUUUGCGUUUGGACUCGCCUUAAAGCAAUUGGCAGCCAGUGUUUUGGUAUUGAAGCGCAGCACAUUUUGCGAUUCUAGCCGAUAAUACUUGCGUCCAUAAGCCUUUUUUAACUUUUGACCUCGGAUCAGGUAGGGAUACCCGCUGAACUUAAGCAUAUCAAUAAGCGGGGA